rnacentral:rRNA from 1 species
GUCGAGCGGAACGAUGGUAGCUUGCUACCAGGCGUCGAGCGGCGGACGGGUGAGUAAUGCUUAGGAAUCUGCCCAGUAGUGGGGGAUAGCCCGGGGAAACCCGGAUUAAUACCGCAUACGCCCUUUUGGGGAAAGCAGGGGAUCUUCGGACCUUGCGCUAUUGGAUGAGCCUAAGUCGGAUUAGCUAGUUGGUGGGGUAAAGGCUCACCAAGGCGACGAUCCGUAGCUGGUCUGAGAGGAUGAUCAGCCACAUCGGGACUGAGACACGGCCCGAACUCCUACGGGAGGCAGCAGUGGGGAAUAUUGGACAAUGGGGGCAACCCUGAUCCAGCCAUGCCGCGUGUGUGAAGAAGGCUUUCGGGUUGUAAAGCACUUUCAGUGAGGAGGAAGGCCUUAAGAUUAAUACUCUUAAGGAUUGACGUCACUCACAGAAGAAGCACCGGCUAACUCCGUGCCAGCAGCCGCGGUAAUACGGAGGGUGCAAGCGUUAAUCGGAAUUACUGGGCGUAAAGCGCGCGUAGGUGGUUGAGUAAGCGAGAUGUGAAAGCCCCGGGCUUAACCUG